GUAAGGGAUAUUGCCCAAUGGGCGCAAGCCUGAGGCAGCAACGCCGCGUGCGGGAAGCAGGGCUUCGGCUCGUAAACCGCUUUUCUCAAGGAAGAGCAAGGACGGUACUUGAGGAAGAAGUCUCGGCUAACUACGUGCCAGCAGCCGCGGUAAAACGUAGGAGGCAAGCGUUAUCCGGAUUUACUGGGCGUAAAGCGCGUGCAGGUGGUUGAGUAAGUCGUGCGUGAAAGCGCUCUGCUUAACAGGGCGAGGACGGGCGAGACUGCUGAACUAGAGGCAGACAGAGGCAAGUGGAAUUCCGGGUGUAGUGGUGAAAUGCGUAGAGAUCCGGAGGAAUACCAGUGGCGAAGGCGGCUUGCUGGGUCUGUGCUGACACUCAGACGCGAAAGCAUGGGGAGCGAACGGGAUUAGAUACCCUGGUAGUCC
rnacentral:rRNA from 1 species